AAUAAUUAGCGGGGAAAGAAGACCCUUUUGAGCUUGACUCUAAUCUGGCAGUGUAAGGAGACAUAAGAGGUGUAGAAUAAGUGGGAGAUAUUAGACUUCGGUUUGGUAUCGACAAUGAAAUACCACUACUCUUAUUGUUUCCUUACUUACUUGAUUAAAUGGAACGUGUAUCAUUUCCUAGCCAUUAUACGGAUAUAAUUAUUAUGUCUUAUGGUAUUGGGUUUUGAUGCAAGCUUCUUGAUCAAAGUAUCACGAGUUUGUUAUAUAAUCGCAAACAAAUUCUUUAAUGAGAGAAUGCAUUUAUGUAUUAUUGAUUUAAAAAUUUGGUAUAACUCCAAUUACUCAGGUAUGAUCCAAUUCAAGGACAUUGCCAGGUAGGGAGUUUGACUGGGGCGGUACAUCUCUCAAAUAAUAACGGAGGUGUCCCAAGGCCAGCUCAGUGCGGACAGAAACCACACAUAGAGCAAAAGGGCAAAUGCUGACUUGAUCUCGGUGUUCAGUACACACAGGGACAGCAAAAGCUCGGCCUAUCGAUCCUUUUGGUUUAAAGAGU
rnacentral:ncRNA from 1 species